CUUUUGCCUUUUCUCGAGAAAAUUCCAAAGAGAAAAUCUCAUGAUUACAAAUCUGAUCAUGGAGAUGGAGUCAUCAAAGGUUCUUGAAGAUACAGACCAUAAAACUGAUCCGUGAGUACUAAUCCAGCGAUGACCUUCGACGAGGUUCCAUGGAACGCAGCAAGAGCUUCUUCAAGGCCUUGCAUGUUUCCUUUUCUUUAAUCUCUCUCUCUUCGCUGCAUAUUCUUUUGCUUCUGUUUGAUUAGAUUCUUUUUAAAAAGUUAAAAAUCUAUGAACAUGAUUGGUCUGAGUCAGAUCCAUGAUCUCCUUGUAUGCUCUCAAGGCUUUGUGAUCCAAUGAUCUCUAAUAGCUUUGUAAUUUGUUCCAACAAUUGGCUGUUAGUAGCUUGUGAUGCGGACUUUCAUCCUUUACGUUUUUGAUGUAACAGGAGCUGAAGAACUUGAGACCUCAGCUCUACUCUGCUGCUGAUUACUUUGAGAAGUCUUAUCUCCACAGCGAACAAAAGCAAAUGGUGUUGGACAAUUUAAAGGACUAUAAUGUAAAGGCUCUUGUUAAUGUUGUUGAUCACUUGGGUACUGUUGCUUCCAAGCUUACUAAUCUCCUUGAUCAGCAGAGUUCUGACAUUUCAACUAUGGAGCUGAGGGCUUCUUGUGUUAGUCAGAAACUCCUUACUUGCCGGACUUUGUUAGUCCUCUCAGACGAUCUGAAUCAAGACAGAAUCAUUGCAAUGCGCCAGAAGGUUGUUCCAGAGCAUCCAGAGACACAUUUACUUGAAGGGACCAAUGGACAAGGUCACCUCUGUUGCCAUUCCUCUUGCCUUGGCUGCAUCUUCUCUCUACAUGAUUGUAAGUUUGUAUCUGUUCCAUUUUCUUGUUUGUUUUUUUCAGAAUUGUGUAUUCAUGCUUUUCUAUGUUUUUUUAGAAUCUGUUAUGUUCUUCACUGAAUAAUUUUGAUUGAAGCUUAUAUUUGUUGUUAUUCAUCUUGCCUUGAUUGCUGUUACUGAGUUCUUUAAUAAUCUGUUAGACUGCUACUAAGCUUUUUAAGACCUUACUUUUUUUCACUCAACAAAACUAUUGUUCUAAGUUAGGUCUCAAAUUACGGACCAAUUGCUCAUGUGUUUUGCAUAUCUAUAAACAUCUAUAUGCUGGUAUCCAAUCUUCAUGAACCAUAUACAUGUUUGGACAAUUUUUUUUUUUUUAAGAAACUCUAAAUAAGAGAUUCCCAUUAGAGCAUAAAAUCAAAGUAUUUCUUAGCUAAGAUUCUUAAUUACAUUUAAUUAAUAAAAUAAUCACAAUUACAUUUAAUUAAUAAAAUAAUCACUAGUGAGGUUGUGGGUUAAUCAUGCCCUAACGUAGGCCUCUUGAUGCCAAGCGUCGUUUCUUUGGGUAAACAAUUUCUUCUCCCUCUUCCUUGCCCCGUCGCGUCGAGACGAAGAACCCCGCUUUCUCUGAGGUUUCCUAAUCGGAGAUGGAGAUCGAUUCCAUCGCAGCUGGAGGAGCUCUUAAACCAGAUGGAGAUCGAUUUCGUUGAGACGAAGAACCCUGCUUUUGAUAGGUGUGGGCGAUUACAGAUGCAAAGAGGCAAAGUUUAAUCCCCUCCGCCCUUAAACCAGGAGGAGCUCUCCAGUUUAUCCCCGGCGCCGUCCGCUUCAUUUGCUCUGUCUCUCCAUCAAACCAUCACUUGCUCUGUCUCUCCAUCAAACGAUGAACCAUCCUCCGAGGUGAAGAAGAAGACGUUGGUGAGGAGGAAUGACGUGAGGAAUAUAGCAAUUGUAGCUCAUGUUGAUCAUGGCAAAACUACUUUGGUUGAUUCUAUGCUUAGGCAAGCUAAGGCAAGGAGCAAAGUUAGUGUUGGAGCUAGGGCCUUGCAAAGACUGUGAGAGGUAUCAGUACAAGAGCUUCGAGCUCAACAUCGUCUUUUCGCAGGUGUGUUUAGCUGGCGUAUCUCUUCUUUGCGUUUCUCAUAACUUGAGAAAGCAUGGGAUUUGAAAGUUUCUCUUCGUUGAUCAGCUCAGUGGUCGUAUGGGACGGCUCAAGGCUCAGUAUAUUCAGCAAAUCUCGAACUCUGUGAGAUAAGCACAUACGUUUGCGUCAUUACCUCUCUAAGAUAAGCUACAGGUUCCGCAUCUUUCUGCUUCUACAGUUUCUGGUCGUCACUGUUAGCCAGUUUACCACGCUUUUCCAGACCACUGCGUAUACCGGACAUAUCACGUAUAUAAACAGUGGUGAUUUCGCGGUGAGUCGAGCUUUAGUUUCUUCUUUGGUUUCUUGUUAUACGGUGAUGUUAAAAGCUUGGGAUUGUUUCAAUUCUCUGCGGUGGUCCAAGUUGUUGGGAUUAUUUUAUGUCUGCAAGCAGUAACGAAAAUAUCUCAUAGAGCUCAAGCGAUAGCAUCAGUUGCAAGUAAAUGGCAUGCGAUAAUGUUGUGCUCAUCUACAGAUACAACUCAGAUAAGGACUUCUCCUAGUGGAGUUCACUUGGAAGCCACCACGAAUCCACCCAUCUCCUUUCAGAAUUAGGUACACCAUUGCUGAAUAACACCAUCUUUGAUCACUUAUUUGGGAAAAUAUUUUUGCCUGCUUUGGUGUUUUUGCAUAUGUAUACAAAUGUUUUUAUUACAUUCUUUCUUAUCAUCUGAACUUCAUGUUUUUUUUGUUGUGUUUCUACUUGUAUUUUAAAUCUAUGUUUAAAAUGUUAUGUUUAAAAGUUUAAUAAAUAAAUUUAAAGUUUAAUAAAAUAAUGUUUAAUA